rnacentral:rRNA from 1 species
UUCGGGGAACGAUAACGGCGUCGAGGGGCGGACGGGUGAGUAAUGCCUAGGAAAUUGCCCUGAUGUGGGGGAUAACCAUUGGAAACGAUGGCUAAUACCGCAUGAUGCCUACGGGCCAAAGAGGGGGACCUUCGGGCCUCUCGCGUCAGGAUAUGCCUAGGUGGGAUUAGCUAGUUGGUGAGGUAAGGGCUCACCAAGGCGACGAUCCCUAGCUGGUCUGAGAGGAUGAUCAGCCACACUGGAACUGAGACACGGUCCAGACUCCUACGGGAGGCAGCAGUGGGGAAUAUUGCACAAUGGGCGCAAGCCUGAUGCAGCCAUGCCGCGUGUGUGAAGAAGGCCUUCGGGUUGUAAAGCACUUUC